GUCCUUACCCCAAAAGCAACAUAUCAAGAGCUAUUUAUAAAGCUCCAUCAAAACGUACCCCAAUCCUAAUAUAUUUAGGAUUUCUACUCCAAUAAAUAUUUAAAUCAUAAUUGAUCUAUCUCCAAUAGAUUUAAAUAUUUAUCCUAAUCUAAUUAAAUCAUACUCUAAUUAAUAUUUAAAUCUUAAUUUAUCUCCAAGAGAUUUAAAUAUUAAUUCUAAUCCAAAUAGAAUUCAACUACAAAUCUAAC
rnacentral:lncRNA from 1 species